rnacentral:lncRNA from 13 species
CAAUGAAACAGGUUUUCGAUAGCCAGCCUCAGUAGUGAGCUAUGGCUGCAUACGGAACAGCCUGACAUCUAUCUGUAUCUAUUUUAAAGCAGCAGGAAAAACACUUCCAGCCUGUCCUGGCACUGUGGGUGGCUGUGUGAUGGGAGGCUGAGGAGGCUUCAUUUUCCUGCUGGUGUAGUGUCUGGGUUUUCUCUGCAUUUCCAGCCUAUUUUUGGUGACAACAAGCCAGUACAGAUCGGCCCAGGGCGCUGGACCCCGCCUCCUGGCUGCUGUCACUCCACUGUGCACAGGUGCACUUCUGUGCAACGGUGGCUGCGCCUCCACGCAGAAGAGGUGGUGUCAGGGCGGAGCAGUCCCUUCAGGCCUCAGAGGGGUCCCGGGACCAGCUGGGGACAGAGCCAGAUCCAGCCAUGUACGACUCUUCCCAGAGAUAAUUUUUAGGAGGGGGCAUUCUGGCAACAAGCAGCUUCUGUGCAUACAACACAGAUAAUGCUUUUUCAAAAAGCACUAAAUAGCAACACCUUUUCCGGGAAGACAGGCUUCCACCAAGUAGGGAAGUCAUGCUCAGCUUUUAAAAUGGAAAAUAGCUAUUGCAUAAUUACCAUUUUAAUCAGAGAAUUAAGGGGAAAAGGAAGAAUCCACUCCACAUCUACAGCCUUAGGAUCAGCUAGAAGGUCAGCUUCUUCCCCGGAUUGUUCAGUGAGACUGAUUUCCAGACAUGGACCAGCCGGCCGCAGCUGCUGGUGCCCUGCUGCACCCUGCUCCCCCUGCCUGGAUUCACUGGCAUCCUGGCAGCAGUGUGGGCGCUGGGGCAGGCAUCUGGAGAUGGUGCAUGGCUCUGGGCUUGGCAUGCCUGGCAGAAGCCCCUGCUGCAGAGAAGGAGAUGAGGAGAGAAGCCUGCUCUGGUCUGGAGGAAAGCCCUGGAGGAAAACAUGUCACCAAAAAGGGAUGAAAUAAGGCUGUGAUUGCAAUUCUGAAUUUUUUUUUUCUGAAAACAUAGCACAUUUUAUGAUGCGAUUAUACAAUGCAAUUAUGAAAAUCGUACACACUCAAGAUCGAUUUUUCCAGAGGAAUCAACAUCAGGGCUGUAUUCUUCACCUGCAUGACAUAUAACACAGCAGUUUCACGGCAUUUUUUUGGGAACUGAUCAUUCAGCCAGGCCAAUGGCAAUGUUUUGUAUUUCUAAUUCUUCUUUCCCUGCCUUAGGACAGUUUGGGGAAACAAACAUUAUACCGGCUAGAGUGCUACUUUAAUUUUUACCUUUUCUCAACUAUCUCAUAGUGUGUUCUAGCCCAGCCUGGGAGAAUCUGGGGCCUCUCCUUUGCCCCAUUCCCCAGCCAUCUGGCAAUGUCUGGUGACAUUUUUUCUGUCAAGACUGGAGGGUGCCACUGGUAGUGACCAGAUAGACCCCAGGGAUGCUGCUGAACGCCCUACAAUUCACAGCGCAGCCCCAGCAACAGAGCUCUCCAGUCCAAAACGUUAAAUUUUGCAGGAUUUCGCAAUUCUGAAUUUUUUAAAGAACACCGUUUCCUAGUGAAUAAAUACGUAGCUGGUAAUGACUGGUUAUUUGAA